CAAAGUGUAGCUUAAAUAAAGCAUCCAGCUUACACCUAGAAG
rnacentral:tRNA from 1 species